rnacentral:rRNA from 1 species
GACGAACGCUGGCGGCGUGCUUAACACAUGCAAGUCGAACGGAAAGUCCCUUCGGGGUGCUCGAGUGGUGAAUGGGUGAGUAACACGUGGGUUUUCUGUCCUGCACUCUGGGCUAAGCGUGUGCAACUGGGUCUAAUACCGUAUAGGACCACGCUCUUCCUCGUUUGUGUUGGCAAGCUUUUGCUGUGUGGGAUGGGCCCGUGGCGUCUCAGCUUGUCGGUGGGGUAAUGGUGUACCAAGGCGACGACCGGUAGCCGGGCUGCGAGGGUGAGAGGCCACACUGGGACUGAGAUACGGCACAGACUAGAAUGGGAGGCAGGGGAGGAGAGUAGUGCACAAGGGGCGGAAGGCAGAUGCAGUCAAGCAGCGUGAGGGAUGACAGCAUGCGGGUUGUGAACCACUUUCAAUAGGGACGAAGCGAAAGUGACGGUACCGAUAGAAGAAGCACCGGCUAACUACGUG